rnacentral:rRNA from 1 species
GACGAACGCUGGCGGCGUGCUUAACACAUGCAAGUCGAACGGAAAGGCCCUGCUUUUUUCGGGUGCUCGCGUGGCGAACGGGUGUGUAACCCGUGAAUAUCCUGCCCUUGACUUUGUGAUAACUUCAGGAAACUGGUGCUAAUACCGGCUACGAGCUCCUGCUGCAUGGUGGGGGUUGGACCGUUUCGGCGGUUGGGGCUGGACUCGCGGGUUACGAGCUUGUUGGUGGAGUAGUGGCUUACCAAGGCUUCGACGGCUAGCCGGCCUGAGAGGGUGAACGGCCACAUGGGGACUGAGAGAGGGCGCAGAGGGCUACGGUAGGCAGCAGUGGGGAAUAUUGCACAAUGGGGGGAAGCGUGAUACAGAAACCUCGCGUGUGGGAUGACGGCCAUGGGGUGAGGAACCGCAGUCGCCUGAGACGAAGCGGGAGUGACGGUAAUGGGUAAAGAAGCACCGGCUAACUACGUG